UGAGAAUAUCCACUUUCUUAUGUUCAAGGUC
rnacentral:piRNA from 1 species